UUUGAUCAUGGCUCAGAUUGAACGCUGGCGGGAUGCUUUACACAUGCAAGUCGAACGGCGGCACGGACUGGUCUGGUGGCGAGUGGCGAACAGGUGAAAUAAUGUAUCGGAACGUGCCUAGUAGCGGGGAUAUGCGGCGUAGCUAAUACCGCAUACGCCCUUCAAGGGGAAAGCAGGGGGACAUUCAGACCUCACGCACUAUUAAAACGGCCGAUAUCAGUUAAGCCAGUUGGUGGGGUAACGGCUCCCGCAGGCGACGAUCCGUAGCUGGUUUGAGAGGACGACCAGCCACGCCGGACUGAGACACGGCCCGGGCUCUACAGGAGGCAGCAGUGAAAUUUUUGGACAAUGGGGGAAACCCUGAUCCAGCCCAUCCCGCGUGUGCGAUGAAGAGCCUUCCGGGUUGUAAAAGCACUUUGGCAGGAAAGAAACGGCGGGAUAAUACCCGAUGCAACUGACGAGCACCUGCAGAAUAAGCACCGGCUAACUACAUGCCAGCAGCCGCGGUAAUACGUAGGGUGCAAGCGUUAAUCGGAAUUACUGGGCGUAAAGCGUGCGCAGGCGGUUCGGAAAGAAAGAUGUAGAAAUCCAGAGCUUAACUUUGGAACUGCAUUUUUAACUACCGAGCUAGAGUGUGUCAGAGGGAGGUGGAAUUCCGCGUGUAGCAGUGAAAUGCGUAGAUAUGCGGAGGAACACCGAUGGCAACAGCCUCCUGGGAUAACACUGACGCUCAUGCACGAAAGCGUGGGAGCAAGUAGGUUAGAUACCCUGGUAGUCCACGCCUAAACGAUGUCAACUAGCUGUUGGGGCCUUUGAGACGCGGUAAUGCCAACUAACGCGUGAAGUUGACCGCCUGGGAAAUACGGUCGCAAGAUUAAAACUCAAAGGAAUUGACGGGGACCCGCACAAGCGGUGGAUGAUGUGGAUUAAUUCGAUGCAACGCGAAAAACCUUACCUACCUUGACAUGUCUGGAAUCCCGAAGAGAUUUGGGAGUGCUCGCAAGAGAACCGGAACACAGGUGCUGCAUGGCUGUCGUCAGCUCGUGUCGUGAGAUGUUGGGUUAGAAUCCCGCAACGAGCGCAACCCUUGUCAUUAGUUACGAAAGGCACUCUGGCGAGACUGCCGGUAUUGACAAACCGGAAGGUGGGGAUGACGUCAAGUCCUCAUGGCCCUUAUGGGUGGGGCUUCACACGUCAUACAAUGGUCAAGACCGGGGUCGCCAACCCGCGAGGGGGAACCAAUCCCAGAAACCCGAUCGUAGUCCGGAUCGCAGUCUGCAACUCGACUGCGUGAAGUCAGGAGAAAUCGCUAAGUAAUCGCGGAUGCAACAUGUCGCGGUGAAUACGUUCCAGAUUAAAAGCAUGCACACAUCGCCCGUCACCAUGGGAGUGGGUUUUACCAGAAGUAGUUAGCCUAACCGUAAGGAGGGCGAUUACCACGGUAGGAUUCAUGACUGGGGUGAAGUCGUAACAAGGU
rnacentral:rRNA from 1 species